rnacentral:ncRNA from 1 species
CCUGCUACGGCAGGACGGAAUGUGGCCGGCGGGGGCGAAAGCCCCCGGAGAGGCGGCACGACCGCCGACCGGCUGAACCACGCA